AUGGAAAUUGCAGAGAAUGAUGUAAAACUUUCUGAAAGUUUUCGAGCUGGUGUGCUAAAUUGCCUUAUUUCUGCUGUUGAGCAAGCUGAGAAUGACUUCUUAUGCAUGGUUGAACAAGAUAUGGAUGAUAGACCAAAUUUAGUUUCAGUUGGAUCUUGUGUCCUGGUUGUGCUUGUCGAGGGAACAGAUUUCUGCAUUCUAAAUCUUGGGGAUAGUUGGGUUGUGCUUGCUUCCAUGCCAUGA
rnacentral:rRNA from 1 species